AUGGCUAUAAAAAGCCAUCAGCCAUAGUGUUUCACGUCAACCACCAUUUUUACACCACUUCAACUUUUUUUUUCAAUUUAGUCCUUUUCAUCAAAUACAAAUCAACCAAGCUAUUUUCUUCCAAAUUUCUUCAAGAUUAGUGAGUAAAAUUAGUUGAGAAGUGUAGUAACUACCCAACUAUUAAAAGAAAUGCAUCCAUACUUGUCUUGGAGGAGAGAUAAAAUAACCAUUAGUGUUGAAUACAAGUGAUUAAGAAAAGUGAAGGGAAGUGAGAAACAAGUAAAGAGUUAAAGCAAAUGAGGAGCUAAAGGAGGAAGAAGAGGAAGAAAGCUUGAUUCCAUAUUUUGAGUUGUUAAAAGUAGAAGAAAAGGAUCUUUGAAGACUGAAGGCACCUCAUCUCAUUACAUUAGUGGAUCCGAGAAAGGGGUAAAGUAUUAAUUUCUAUCGUUUCAGUAAAUGGCAUGUACCUAGGUGUGUGUAUUAAGGUUAAAUGUGAUGGGACUCAAAUGUGAAACUCAUGUUUGCUUAAUUCAUGUGAAAUAGUUUAAAUGUUAAUUAAGUGAUAUAAGAAAAUUAGAUUUUAGAAUGCUUAAUUACGAUUUACAAUUGAAUUAAAUUGGCUUAAAAUUUUGAGAUUUGAAAAAGGGUUAAAUUAGGUAAACUUUAGGAAUUAAUUUGGCAAAUUGUCCCUUGAAUUUCAAACUUAAACACGGUUCCUGAAACCUACACAAUUGUAUUCCCCAUUUUUCACAAUGACCUUUAUUUCACUUUAGUAAAUUGUUCUAAAUGAAAGAAUGGUUAAAAUUUUUAUUUCGCUUAUCCCAAAUACCAAUAAAAAUAUAUAUA